rnacentral:rRNA from 1 species
UACGUAGGGUGCAAGCGUUGUCCGGAAUUAUUGGGCGUAAAGAGCUUGUAGGCGGUUUGUCGCGUCUGCUGUGAAAUUUCGGGGCUCAACCCCGAACUUGCAGUGGGUACGGGCAGACUAGAGUGUGGUAGGGGAGACUGGAAUUCCUGGUGUAGCGGUGAAAUGCGCAGAUAUCAGGAGGAACACCGAUGGCGAAGGCAGGGCUCUGGGCCACUACUGACGCUGAGAAGCGAAAGCAUGGGGAGCGAACAGG